rnacentral:rRNA from 1 species
GUUUGACCCCCCGAAACUAAGCGAGCUACUCUAAAACAGCCCACAGAGCCAACCCACCCCUAUUGCAAAAGGGCGGGGAGAUUUUAAAGUAGAGGUGACACACCAACCGAGCCUAGAGAUAGCUGGUUAUUCAAAAGACGGAUUUAAGUCCAACUUUAAGCUUCUAUCAGUGGCACAAACAACCCACAAGCUUAAAAGCCAUUCAAAUAAGGUACAGCCUAUUUGAACAAGGAGACAACCUAUAAUACAGGGUAAUGACCCCCCCCCACAAGUGAUUAAGUAGGCCUAAAAGCAGCCAACUUCUAAAAAGCGUCCAAGCCUCACCACACUUCCCACCAAUCUCCCAAUCCACCCACAACCCACAACCAAUACUGAAUGACCCCAUAUCCAUAUGGAAGACAUUAUGCUAGAACUAGUAACAAGAAGACGAACUUCUCCAAAAUGCAAACAUAGGCCAAAAUGAACCAUCACCGGCACUUACCGCUAUCACAACCGCAGUACUAACAACACAAGAAAACCCCACUACACCAAGCGUCAACCUUACACCAGAGCAUUCCAGGAAAGAUUUAAAGAGC